rnacentral:lncRNA from 1 species
CAUUUUAUAACAUUAUUGUCAUUUCAACGAUGAAAACGAGAACACAAUCAUCACAUCAUAAACAACCAUGAAAUAUGUUAUCAAUGUUAUCCCAAAAAAAAUGUUCGUUGCGCGUAAAAAGAUCACAUGACUCGUAUAAACAUCGCGGACCAUGAAGUAAAACAGAGUUUAUCAGACACACAAAAAGUAAAACGGAGAGAAAGAUAGAUUCGCCAUCCAUCCUUGUAGGUAUUUAAAUGAAAUUUAUUUUAAAAGACUUUUUGGUUAUAACAAUUCUUGUGCUUUUUUUUUUUUUUUUUAUGUUUUAAUCAAAAUAAAUAAUUUUCACACAAAUUAGUUUUUUGUUUUAAAAUUUUAUCGUUUUAAAUUGAAGUUGUUUGAUUUUUUGUUUGAUUUCUUGUUGUGAUUUUCGUUUAAUUUAAACUAUAGAUCAAUUUUGAUCAACUACUGAUUCACAAUGACUAUGUUGUUGCAGAUCCAUAAACAUUCUAAUUAUUUUAAUUUUAUCACAUUAUUUAUAGGUAUUAUAUCGUUUUAUGCUAUUAACUUAAAUAUUGUGAGUAUUUUUACCUAUUCUUUCUUAUUCGUUUUUAGUGAUGGAAAAUUAGUUAAUAUGUUGUAGGUACAAGUCACUCUAUCCAACGAAAUUUGUUAUAUUUUAUAUGUUAUCUUGCGGUAUCAAAAUUAUUAAUAUUGUUUUCUAUUAUAUUCAUACCCAUUACUAUUUAUUCUUUUUUUUUUCAAUUUUUUUAAUUUAUUUUUUCCCUGCCAUUACUGAAAGGUAAUAUUGUAAAAUAAGUCAUGUUUUUUUCUCACACAAAAUUAAUGGUAUAUUUUGGGACGAAGAGAAUAAAUAAAAAAAACACACCAAAUGGGGUGAUUAGAAUGUUACAUGCGUAAAUCAAUUAAAGUUUGUAAAUUUUAAAAACUGUGAACCAAAUUCACAAAUCAAUUUCACAAAUUACAAAAUAAAUUGUGGAGUAUUGAUACACAUGUGAGAUCGGGAAAUAACUAUUGCUACCGCAGAGACACACAAACACGGGAGUAGUAGCAUCCGAUUGAAGAGGACGACGAUUCACACCUGCAAGGAUUCUUUUUCGUAUAUGGUAGAUUCUUAUAUACGUAAAUGGGAGAUUCUUUUUCACCUUCUACGUACAAUUCAACAAUACAUAUUAAAAAAACACAGUUUCUUUGCCCUCUAAUGUGUACUUUGAGACGAAAAAUGUAGUUUGUUAGAAACAUUGGAGGUUAAAAGAAACUCUCUUUGCCCAUUUCCAUGCCAAUGUAAAGUUGGAUGCAACAACUUUGGUGAAGGGCUGCUCAAAACCCAGUCGCUCAAUCUCAAUCAUGAUGGUGGCAACUCAAUUCAAAGAGUCGCACUCAGAAGGACAUGUUUGUGAAAGGGUGAAGUAGAAGUACCAACUAGUAGAGAUAAGUGAUGGUAAUUGAAACAAUGGUGGGCUAAGCUAAAUGGACAACCUGACCUUUUGCAGAUUGCAAAUCAAAAUACCAUUAGUUUUGGAAGUAUUUUUCUCGCGACCGACGUGCACUUCAGGACUAUAGGUGUCUUAAAAAUUACAGUUUUUCCCUCCAAAAAUAUACUUCCUGAAAAAACUUUGUUUUGUUUUGUCUGGAAGUAUACUACAUAGGAGUGAUUUUUAAGUUGGAUGCAACAACUUUGGUGAAGGGCUGCUCAAAACCCAGUCGCUCAAUCUCAAUCAUGAUGGUGGCAACUCAAUUCAAAGAGUCGCACUCAGAAGGACAUGUUUGUGAAAGGGUGAAGUAGAAGUACCAACUAGUAGAGAUAAGUGAUGGUAAUUGAAACAAUGGUGGGCUAAGCUAAAUGGACAACCUGACCUUUUGCAGAUUGCAAAUCAAAAUACCAUUAGUUUUGGAAGUAUUUUUCUCGCGACCGACAUGCACUUCAGGACUAUAGGUGUCUUAAAAAUUACAGUUUUUCCCUCCAAAAAUAUACUUCCUGAAAAAACUUUGUUUUGUUUUGUCUGGAAGUAUACUACAUAGGAGUGAUUUUUUAAAAUCACGAGGAGUGGCAAAAAAAACUGUGUUUUAGCACUAUCCGGAAGGCAAACAAAAUGUUUCUUUUCCCUCUCAAGAGCUUCAUAUUCCAGGUUGUUGCCCCAGUGGUGCUACUUUACACAAUUACACUGUUAAAGUUGUGCUGGGAGAAAGGAUUUCCUCAGGUUGAAAUAAACAUAAGGUCAUUUUAUAAUCCCAAACAUCCAAUCCUUAAUCUUUAUUUUUAAAAACGCUCCCUAUGUUUUUCUUUCCAACAUGAGGUUGUGCAGC